UUUCCUACGUAGCGUGCGUUACAGACGGCUGACUAGAUACCGUUGUACAUGCCCUCAGAAAAAAUCCCCAUUCUCUCUCUCUUGCGUUAGCCCCCCUCUCUCCGCUGCGACUCCUCGCCGCCACAGCCACAUACGCCGGCCACCUCGCCCCGCUCCGGCGACUCCUGGCACCGCCGGACACGCUCCCGAGCUUGCCUUCCCCCGCUACGUCCUCCCCUCCGACUGGAUUCGACGCUCGUGCCCACUAGCAGCCCUCCCCCGCGGCUAGGGUUUCGGGCGCAGCGGCGCCUCUCACUCCGGCGAGUUCAACCCAUCCUCCUUCCUCUUCCUAUCUCUCCCUCCCCGUGUCUAAUCUCUGGUGGAGUCUUCUCUUGUAGAUGUGCCGAGAAGAGGGAGAUGAACCAAGUCCUAGAUCCAUCACACUCCAUGCCAUGGACCCUUGACGAAAGAAGGUCGAGGAAGGCCACUGCGUCUGUGCUCGGCCACGAGAAGAUGACAUGGAGCUCGUCUUCCCGCUCAUCUGCUUGUCAAGGUCGCAUCUAUCUUAUCUGCUCCCCACUCUGAAAACUGAACCCCUUUCUUCUCUGUACAUUUGAUAGGUUGCAAUUUUGUCAUUCAACUGGAUAGAUGGAUGUAUUCGUUUUGUCUUGCACUAUAUUCUUGCUCAAUUGUUGUUAGUGCUCAAGUUGUACUAGUAGCUGUGGCACAAGUACAAGAAGGGUUUCCGAUUUCUCACUUGCGCAAAGAAUAAGUUCAGUCAAUCUAAUAUGUGAUUAGGCAACCAGGUUUACUUUACUCAAGUUCAGUUUUUGUCGUGCUGCUGCACCAAGAUUUCCCCUUGACUAAUUUCUGUUGUAUCCUUGAUUGAUGCUGCACCAAGAUUUCCCCUUGACAAAUUUCUGUUGUAUCCUUGAUUGAAGCUGCACCGAGUUUUCUCACAUCUGCCCGAAGGUGUCCACCAACUUACAUAGGGUUCUGGUGGCGAUGCCGACGGUCGUCGAGAGGUUCGUGGACUGGACGGUGUCGUGGCUGCCGAUGUACGGAGAGGCGAAGCUGCUACCCGUCAUCUACCUCUGGCACCCCAGCACACGGGGUGCGGGGCACGUGUACGAUGGCUUCCUCCAUCCGCUGGUGGCGUGGCACGAGGCCGACAUCGACCGGGGCCUGCUUGAACUGAGGGCUAGGGCGAGGGACGUGAUGGCGUCACAACUCAACACUAGUAGAAAACAGGGCUUAGGUCACAGGACAGUUUUCACAUUAGUCCCGGUUCAGUCACGAACCGGGACUAAUGUGAGCAUUGGUCCCAG